CGGGGCGUAGCGCAGUUUGGUAGCGCGUACGGUUCGGGACCGUAAGGCCGCUGGUUCAAAUCCAGUCGCCCCGA
rnacentral:tRNA from 1 species